UCACACCCGAAACAUAUCCUCACGCCCGAAACUGACCACAAAACCUAAAUUCGUGACCAGUUCCUCACACUAACUCUUGUCGUCGGAACCUCCCCGCCGCAGCCCUAAACUCCUCUCCACCAACAUCUUCGCCCAUCCUCUCUCCAUCGAAGCCCUCUCCAGCCUAGUCGGGUGUCGCCGUCACCUUCUUCCGCUGGGUGUGAUCCUGCUACCUCAGCGACCAGCACCCACCCUACGCGUGGAACCUUGUGGUCGACCUCCUCGGCAAGAACUUUUCAACGCCAAGUGAAACUCUGUCCACUCCAUGCAAUCCGAGGGCCUUCUCUCCAUGCCUCCUACAAUGGUGAUCUUGAUUUUUAGUACUGCCACUUCUCCAAAGGUGCAUGACCCUUUUCCAUAGCAGAUAAUGGGUGUAGAUUGCACGGCAGAAGAACUUAAGGCAACUCUUAUCUUCUAUUCUCAAGCAAAAUUUCUUGAUGUUAAUGCUAAUGUUUUUUUAUAUAGGCAGACCUCUUGUUAUCUAAAAUUUCUUCAAAGAUUUUUUGUGACCCAAUUGAAGCAAGGAAGUUUUCUGAUCCAAUCUUUGCUUGUGUAGGAGAUUAUGGGUGAGAAAUUAUGGAUCAGUUAUUUUAGAUACUUCAUCAUCCAAAAAUAUAUUUGACUCUAUCCUGUCAACACAGACAAUCAUGUAGUUUUAGGUUGUGUAUGUAAUAGGAUUUCCUCUUUUCUUCAUGAAAUCUCUUUGUUAUUUUUUAGUCGAAUUGUUAGAUCCAUGAAUCCUUUUCUAGUCAUUAAAUAGUAGUUCAUGCCAUUCAUGCUAAGUAUGUUAAAUAAGUCGUCAAAGUUUCAAUUAUAUAUAGAUGUUAACUAUGAACUGUUUGAUAAAUUGUCUCGAAGAUAUUUCAUUGUUACUUUCAACAAGAAUUAGUGAAGCAGAAAAUUAAAGAUUUCUCACUAGAUUUGUUGAAUGACUCUCUAAGAAAUGCUGCCAUCAGUCAUACAAUCAUCUCAAGUAAUUUAUUCAUUUAUUCAUGUAAUCUUAGCGAUGCUGGUUCUCUCUGGAAUUGUUCUGCUGCCCGUUCUUCUAGUGGUUGCAACUGAACCUGCACCAUCUUCCACGGAUAGCAAUAGUGAGGGAAGCUUCAAGAACCUUGACAAAUUGACCAUGGGGCAUGCCAAUCUGAGGUUGCAACAUUGCUUUUAGCCACAUUAAUACACGAGGUGAUGCAUGCUUUAGAUUUUGACCCUCAUGCCUUUGCACAUUUCCAUGAUGAGUGAAAGAGAUGAAGGCGUAGUCAGGUCACUAUGCAAGUUAUGGAUGAGAAGUUUGGUUGUGCAGUUGCACGUAUUGUCCUGCCCCGACUAGUUAUGCAUACUAGAUACCAUUAUGGGGCAUUUUCUCAAAAUUGGUGAAGGUCCGAGCCCACCCAUUGGUUUUCAGUAACUCAAUAAAGAAAUGAUGAAAUUAGGCCAGACCUUAUUUUCAUGGCUCCUUGUUCGCAAGACAAAUGCUUAGGGAGCUAAUAUGUUAGUUGGCAAAGAGGAGAAACAUCUGUUAGCAUUCCCCAAGGGCCUAAAUUCAGCACCAGGAAGGCCAAGAGUAGCUCCCAGCAGUCCUGUAAUUUUCGAAGUCACUUUGGAGUAUGUUCCUGGCCUAGACAAUGAGUAAACCUUGUGCUUCCAGUUCCAUCCACUUGUUCAGAGGAGUUAAAGAAAUGAGCUUAGAGAGUUUAAAUUUUUUUAAUCUGUAAGUUAUAUAAAGAUAUAAAAUAUGUGGGAAUAUUUAUUUCUUAUUUAAAUAUCCUACAAUUCUUCAGCUUUUUAUUCA